GGCAAUGGUGGCUCAGGGUUUAAGCCUCUGGACUAUUGAUCAGAAGGUUGCAAGUUCAAGCCCUGGCACUGCCA